rnacentral:lncRNA from 1 species
AUGCCUAGUUCCUGUCCCAGAACGAAGCAGUUUAUCCUGACUUCAGAAGGCAAGCAGAGUAACCUGAAUUACCACGUUAUUAAAAAUAAGCAUGCUAAUUCAAUCAAGUAUAUUGAGCACCUUAUGAGCAUCUGCAGUGACUCUAAGGCUGUGGUGUUCAAAAUCAGUGAAGGUGCUGACUCUCAAAGAGGAGGAAGGCUCAUUUAUAUCACUUUGGUGGAGCAGACUUGGUAAGUUCCCAGAAUUCCAUCUUUUGAUUGACUUACAGAUGGAUUUUACAUGGCACUUCCCAUCCUCUGAAAAUGAUUCCAUUUCUUUUUUUUUUUAAUGCUUAUUUAUCUAUUUUGAGAGACAGAAAUUGAGCUGGGGAGGGGCAGAGAGAGAGGAGAGAGAAAAUCACAAGCAGCCUCCACAAUAUCAGUACAGAGCAGACUUGGGACUUGAUUUCACACACCAAACCGUGAGAUCAUGACCUGGACUGAAAUCAAGGGUCAGGCACCCAAAUGACCAAGCUACCAAGGUGCCCCUAAUACAGAAGAUCCAUGUUUUCUCCUUAUGGGGAGAUGAGCAUUAAAUCAUUAAAAGAAAAAUUGAGUUCUUUAGAAGAACUCAGGCUUUUCAAAUAUCAGAUUGUUCCCCAACUAUUAUUAAAAACAAAGUAGUAGGUAGGACACUAGAAAAUGCUGAGAAUUAAUACUUGCUGUAUUUCCUAGUAGUUUAAUGAUAUUUGGAUACUAAUGCCCUCAUAUCA